UUUUGGAUGGACUCGCGGCCUAUCAGCUUGUUGGUGGGGUAAUGGCCUACCAAGGCGACGACGGGUAGCCGGCCUGAGAGGGUGACCGGCCACACUGGGACUGAGACACGGCCCAGACUCCUACGGGAGGCAGCAGUGGGGAAUAUUGCACAAUGGGCGCAAGCCUGAUGCAGCGACGCCGCGUGAGGGAUGACGGCCUUCGGGUUGUAAACCUCUUUCAGUAGGGAAGAAGCGUAAGUGACGGUACCUGCAGAAGAAGCGCCGGCUAACUACGUGCCAGCAGCCGCGGUAAUACGUAGGGCGCAAGCGUUAUCCGGAAUUAUUGGGCGUAAAGAGCUCGUAGGCGGUUUGUCGCGUCUGCUGUGAAAGACCGGGGCUCAACUCCGGUUCUGCAGUGGGUACGGGCAGACUAGAGUGCAGUAGGGGAGACUGGAAUUCCUGGUGUAGCGGUGAAAUGCGCAGAUAUCAGGAGGAACACCGAUGGCGAAGGCAGGUCUCUGGGCUGUAACUGACGCUGAGGAGCGAAAGCAUGGGGAGCGAACAGGAUUAGAUAC
rnacentral:rRNA from 1 species